AGCUUUGUGCAGUGGCACUACUGUAGCCAAUCAGGUUUAUCUGAGGCAUGAUUAUUGCUAGUUGAAAAGCAGACACAAAGGU
rnacentral:snRNA from 1 species